rnacentral:rRNA from 1 species
UACGUAGGUGGCGAGCGUUGUCCGGAUUUACUGGGCGUAAAGCGCGCGUAGGUGGCUUCCUAAGUCUUGACGUGAAAGGUCGCGGCCCAACUGCGACAGGGCGCGGGAUACUGGGGAGCUUGAGGGCAGCAGAGGCCGGUGGAAUUCCCGGUGGAGUGGUGAAAUGCGUAGAUAUCGGGAGGAACACCAGAGGCGAAGGCGGCCGGCUGGGCUGUACCUGACGCUGAGGCGCGAAAGCGUGGGGAGCGAACCGG